rnacentral:rRNA from 1 species
GACGUAGGGCGCAAGCGUUUGUCCGGAUUUAUUGGGCGUAAAGAGCUCGUAGGCGGCUUGUCGCGUCUGCUGUGAAAACUGGAGGCUCAACCUCCAGCCUGCAGUGGGUACGGGCAGACUAGAGUGCGGUAGGGGAGAUUGGAAUUCCUGGUGUAGCGGUGGAAUGCGCAGAUAUCAGGAGGAACACCGAUGGCGAAGGCAGAUCUCUGGGCCGUAACUGACGCUGAGGAGCGAAAGCAUGGGGAGCGAACAGG